rnacentral:lncRNA from 1 species
UCUCCUCUCCUCUCCUCUCCUCUCCUCUCCUCUUCUCUCCUGCUCCCCCCUCCUCCUCUUCCUCGUCUCACAUUUUUCAUUCCUGGGUGACAGAUGGGAGCCUUCAGACUUUCGACACUCCCCAAACUUCAAACUCUCUCUCUUUGAAAGAAGAAAAUGAGGGAAUGGUGAGGGUAAUCUUCUCCAAUGGCAGUCUCCUACCUGCACAUUAAGAGACUCCUAGGCCUUUAAUCCCAGCAUUAGGGAGGCAGAGGCAGACAGACCACUUUAGCCACGAUGCACCAGUGAACAGACGUCCCCAAACCCUGCUGCUGCAGGCAUUCGUUGCCGACAAGGAAAGACAGCAGAGAAAAAACAUGAAGUCCCUACUCUGCGGUUGGGAUGCUGAGGGAGGCCAGGAAGA